rnacentral:sRNA from 1 species
AUUUGAAAGAAAACUUCAGGCUGUUUAUAUCGUUGAUUAAAAGGCAAGAUAUUUUUUUGUGUUAAAUAAUUUUUGGUUCUUCUCGUAGAAAUUUAUUUUUUGAAUUGACAAUUUCGCUGCGGCUAGGACUGCAAAUAAUAAAUUGGAAGCUAUUAUAUAUUUCUGGGAGGAAUUGGGAGCGUUUAUCUCUAAUUCCUCCCAAGGAUAUUUUAUUUAAAGUUUUUUUCCGCGAGAGAGAUAAAAGGGAAUAGCAUCUCCCAAACGCCACCAGUCUAACCUUUGGCGGUUUUAAGCGCACCAUUGCGAAUUAUUGUCGCCGUAAAUUUUAUUGUUGACCAACACGUAUACGCCACAAAACGAUAAUCAACCAUUCCAAGCUCUUGUCAAGAUUAAGGAAUAAAUAGUGCAAUAUA